AGAGUUUGAUCCUGGCUCAGGACGAACGCUGGCGGCGUGCCUAAUACAUGCAAGUCGAGCGAGCUUGCCUAGAUGAUUUUAGUGCUUGCACUAAAUGAAACUAGAUACAAGCGAGCGGCGGACGGGUGAGUAACACGUGGGUAACCUGCCCAAGAGACUGGGAUAACACCUGGAAACAGAUGCUAAUACCGGAUAACAACACUAGACGCAUGUCUAGAGUUUGAAAGAUGGUUCUGCUAUCACUCUUGGAUGGACCUGCGGUGCAUUAGCUAGUUGGUAAGGUAACGGCUUACCAAGGCAAUGAUGCAUAGCCGAGUUGAGAGACUGAUUGGCCACAUUGGGACUGAGACACGGCCCAAACUCCCACGGGAGGCAGCAGUAGGGAAUCUUCCACAAUGGACGAAAGUCUGAUGGAGCAACGCCGCGUGAGUGAAGAAGGGUUUCGGCUCGUAAAGCUCUGUUGGUAGUGAAGAAAGAUAGAGGUAGUAACUGGCCUUUAUUUGACGGUAAUUACUUAGAAAGUCACGGCUAACUACGUGCCAGCAGCCGCGGUAAUACGUAGGUGGCAAGCGUUGUCCGGAUUUAUUGGGCGUAAAGCGAGUGCAGGCGGUUCAAUAAGUCUGAUGUGAAAGCCUUCGGCUCAACCGGAGAAUUGCAUCAGAAACUGUUGAACUUGAGUGCAGAAGAGGAGAGUGGAACUCCAUGUGUAGCGGUGGAAUGCGUAGAUAUAUGGAAGAACACCAGUGGCGAAGGCGGCUCUCUGGUCUGCAACUGACGCUGAGGCUCGAAAGCAUGGGUAGCGAACAGGAUUAGAUACCCUGGUAGUCCAUGCCGUAAA
rnacentral:rRNA from 1 species